rnacentral:tRNA from 1 species
GUGAUGUUGGCUCAGUGGUAGAGUUCUUGCCUCACAUGCAUGAGGCCCUGGGUUCGAUUCCUCAGCACCACA